AUGCAUAGGAAUCUGCCCGGUAGUGGGGGAUAACCUGGGGAAACCCAGGCUAAUACCGCAUACGUCCUACGGGAGAAAGGGGGCUUCGGCUCCCGCUAUCGGAUGAGCCUAUGUCGGAUUAGCUAGUUGGUGAGGUAACGGCUCACCAAGGCCACGAUCCGUAGCUGGUCUGAGAGGAUGAUCAGCCACAUCGGGACUGAGACACGGCCCGAACUCCUACGGGAGGCAGCAGUGGGGAAUAUUGGACAAUGGGGGGAACCCUGAUCCAGCCAUGCCGCGUGUGUGAAGAAGGCCCUCGGGUUGUAAAGCACUUUCAGCGAGGAAGAACGCCUAGCGGUUAAUACCCGCUAGGAAAGACAUCACUCGCAGAAGAAGCACCGGCUAACUCCGUGCCAGCAGCCGCGGUAAUACGGAGGGUGCAAGCGUUAAUCGGAAUUACUGGGCGUAAAGCGCGCGUAGGUGGCUUGAUAAGCCGGUUGUGAAAGCCCCGGGCUCAACCUGGGAACGGCAUCCGGAACUGUCAAGCUAGAGUGCAGGAGAGGAAGGUAGAAUUCCCGGUGUAGCGGUGAAAUGCGUAGAGAUCGGGAGGAAUACCAGUGGCGAAGGCGGCCUUCUGGACUGACACUGACACUGAGGUGCGAAAGCGUG
rnacentral:rRNA from 1 species